rnacentral:rRNA from 1 species
GAUGAACGCUGGCGGCGUGCCUAAUACAUGCAAGUCGAGCGAACAGACGAGGAGCUUGCUCCUCUGACGUUAGCGGCGGACGGGUGAGUAACACGUGGAUAACCUACCUAUAAGACUGGGAUAACUUCGGGAAACCGGAGCUAAUACCGGAUAAUAUAUUGAACCGCAUGGUUCAAUAGUGAAAGACGGUUUUGCUGUCACUUAUAGAUUGAUCCGCGCCGCAUUAGCUAGUUGGUAAGGUAACGGCUUACCAAGGCAACGAUGCGUAGCCGACCUGAGAGGGUGAUCGGCCACACUGGAACUGAGACACGGUCCAGACUCCUACGGGAGGCAGCAGUAGGGAAUCUUCCGCAAUGGGCGAAAGCCUGACGGAGCAACGCCGCGUGAGUGAUGAAGGUCUUCGGAUCGUAAAACUCUGUUAUUAGGGAAGAACAAAUGUGUAAGUACCUAUGCACGUCUUGACGGUACCUAAUCAGAAAGCCACGGCUAACUACGUG